ACUUUUACAAUGUAAUUUAGAAAUCUAGUCCCAAAAGCUUUCCACUAUGUAACCUUUACUACGUAUUUUAGGGAAAUGAUCAAGGGCCCAUGAUACAGUUAGCAACUUAUCAAACCCUAAAAGAGCCCUUUUAAUUAUUUUAACUAUGUAAAUGAAAUGGCCUUUCUUUUUUUCUCUCUCUCUUCUUGCGGCCAACUCUUUAUCGUCUGUCA
rnacentral:lncRNA from 1 species